AUCACCCAGGGAUAUUGUUAAAAUGUAGAUUCUGACUCAGUAAUUCUGGGCUUGAGGUUCUGCAUGUCUAACAAUCUCCCAGGUGAUGCUGG
rnacentral:pre_miRNA from 1 species